CGCCCGCAGCCACCACUAGCGCGCGCCGCCGUUGCUGCGGAAUUGACGGGCUGCCGACCGUCGGCGCGAGAGCGGAUCCAGACACUCUUCUAGAAAAUAAUGAACAACAAAUUUGACGCCCUGAAAGAUGAUGACAGUGGAGAUCACGACCAGGACAACAGCUCACCGAAAGACGGGGAGAAGGAAAAAAAUGAUGAAGAGGACAAAGAAGCAAACACUACAAAGAGAAAGGCAGUGGUCCCGGGAGCUGGUGAACACCCUCUUCAGUAUAACUACACCUUCUGGUAUUCUCGACGCACACCAGGACGUCCGGCCAGCACACAGAGCUAUGAACAGAACAUUAAACAGAUUGGCAGCUUUGCUUCGGUGGAGCAGUUCUGGCGUUUUUAUAGUCACAUGAUCCGACCGGGUGAUCUGACUGGUCACAGUGAUUUCCACCUGUUUAAGGAAGGAAUCAAACCCAUGUGGGAGGAUGAUGCUAAUAAGAGUGGUGGUAAAUGGAUCAUUCGGCUCCGGAAAGGCCUGGCGUCUCGCUGCUGGGAAAAUCUGAUCCUGGCCAUGCUUGGCGAACAGUUCAUGGUGGGCGAGGAGAUCUGUGGCGCCGUCGUGUCCGUUCGCUUCCAGGAGGAUAUCAUUUCCAUCUGGAAUAAGACGGCCAGCGAUCAGGCCACCACUGCUCGCAUUAGAGACACUUUACGCAGAGUCCUCAACCUGCCUCCUAAUACUAUAAUGGAGUACAAAACACACACCGACAGCAUCAAAGCUUGGGAGGAUUUCCAUGGUCUAGUGAACGCAAGUGGAGGACGCUAGUAUUUUCACCCAGUGUGUGUGUGUGUGAGAUGGUAUAAACUCAUGACUGACACAUCUAUGAACUUUAUUUCCCCAAUGAAGAGGUCAUUUUCUGAUCACACCAACCUGAAACUGAGCUGUUUUUAAAAGAAAAAAAUGAAAGGGACGCCACAAAAUGGGGCUCAGCAUGGGUUAUUUUUAAUAUUGAAGACUUCUGGCUUUUUAUAAACGUCCAAACAACACCUGAAUAAGGAGGAGGAGGAACCAAAACAUCAAUGGGUGAAUGAUUUCCAGUCAGCCAUCUUUCAGACAGAUAGCGGGACCACACAAACUAAAGGCUGGAAACUGCCACAUUUUCCAAAAACAACAACAACAAAAAAAGAUGAAUUCUUACAUUUACCUGACCGAUCAUCUUAAAAACUGAAGAGAGUUCAUUUAGGUCACAUUAUUAUCCAGUGGAGUCGCAGGCUGAUGGGGAUAUUUUACUAUAGUGCAGUAUUUUAGCUACAGUGUCGAGUUGUUUUAACAUAGAACUGUUGUACAAAAAAAACAAUUAUAUUUGUAAACAUAUUUGGAGAGCUGUAUAAUAGCGGACUUGUUUUUUUUCUUCUUUCUCCUGAGCUGAAGGAGUGUAAACCCAAAGGACAGUGCCCUUUAUGGAUGGGCACGGCGCUGCGUGAUUCACUGUGCCUGGCCUUCAUAAACACUGACUUUACAAUCACUAUUCAGACAUGCUAACUAACAAACACUGAUAUAUCUGGAGUUACUGGAGGCUGUGGAUCAACACCUACUUUAUACUGCCUGGACUUCAGUGCUGGUGCUGGACAGUUGUAUUCGAGGUACAUUAAAAAAAAAAAAAAGAAAAACUAAAAUAAAAAGUGGAAAGUUUUUAAUUAUUGAUCGAUCACAGCAAUAAAUGUUGAUUAUGCAUCUGCUGCUAAUGUU